GUUAACUCCUGCACCAAGAAAAAGUAAACAUGAGUCCUUAAUAAAGCAUUUAUUUUCCUACUUAAUAAGACUGUAAAAGUUAAUUAAAAGCUGAAUACACAUGAUCAGGUUGGAAGUUAUUGUUCACUGAUUUUUAACCUAAGACACUUUUCAAAUACGUCACUGUAUAGUUUUUCCCCAUUUUUUUUUUAUUUUGCUAUAAUUUCUUAUUGCAAUAGGAAUUUAUUUUCUCAAUUCUUACCAUUCAAGAGAAUGAUUCCACACUUUGACUCCACUGUUGGAAUGGAUUUUUGGAUGCCUAUCUUGUGCUGGAAGGGUCAUCAGAGGGAACCCUUAAGUGACAUUUUGAAUCAACUUGAGGAACUCCUCAACUUCAACAGAUGGAAUAUAAAGAGUUUCAGCUGGUACUCAAA